UUGUGCUCUGGAUGCAUGGGAUCCAAACCCAGCUUCGUCUACGAGGACAUCUUUAAAUAUCACACAAUUGUUGAAGACUGAUGUGCUCUUGAAGUCAAGUGUGCAUUACUGGAUCUCAGUUGCUAUUUCAAUAUUUCAGGACGCCACCUUAUUUAGUGUAAAAAGUUUGGCCGACAUUUCAGUACCAAAUGACACUUCACUGUCCAGUAAAUAAACAGGGCGUCAAAAACGUAGGGCGUCGAAGGUUCCACUGUACUGUUUGACAUUUGUAGACAUGUGUUUGACAUGAAUCUCUGUUAAACAAACAUAGUUAGCUCUAGAAAGAUUUAUUUUAUUAUCACAGAAAAGUACAAGUGCAGUGCUUGUUCUGAGAUGCUAUGGCAGUACUCCAUGACACGCACUCUACAUAUUGUUAAAAAUAUAUGAAUGACAUUUUAAUGUGUAGUACAGAAACAGGUGGGCAAAAAUUUAGGCCAUAGAAAGUUGCAGUGUACUGUUUCUAAAGGUUAGACAUGUGUUUGCCAUUCAGCCCUCUUAAAUGGACAUAGUUAGCGCUAGAACGCUUAGAUUUGUUCUUAUAGCGAGGAACACGCACCUCUGCUCCCUCGUGUGGACGAGGUGGCCGAGUGGUUAAGGCGAUGGACUGCUAAUCCAUUGUGCUCUGCACGCGUGGGUUCGAAUCCCACCUUCGUCGGAAAGAGCUUCUUUAGUCAUCAAACUAACAAUGAACGUUGACCUCCGGUCAAAAGUGCAAUGUUUGCUCUGAGGUGCUCUUUCCAUUCUGCCUGACACUGAUUUGAAAGAAAGAAUUUCUCUACGGCAAACGACAACCAAGACUUCCUCCGAUUUGGCCGAAAGGUCAGGGAGGUGGACUGCGAAUCUGCUUUGCUCUGGAUGCGUGAGAUCCAAUCCUAACUUCAACAACAAAGGCUGUCUUCAAACAUGACACAACUGUUGUACACUGAUGUGCACUUGAGGUCAGACGCGCAAUACCCUUUCUAACAUGCUAUUUCAGUACUUCAUGACGCCCACAGUUCAAUACCAGCUGACGUUUCACCGUCCAGUAAGGAAACAGGUGGGCAAAAGUUUAGGCCAUAGAAAAUUCCUAUGUACUGUUUAUCAUUGUUAGGCAUGCUUUUCACAUGAAUCCCCUCUAAACGGACCUAGCGAGUCACAGAACGAUUUGUCAUAUUGUUCUAGAGAGGAAAAUAAGCCACACGAUCCCUGUCAUGUCGACGAGGUGGCCGAGAGGUUAAGGCGAUGGACUGCUAAUCCAUUGUGCUCUGCACGCGUGGGUUCGAAUCCCUCCUUCGUCGAACAGGCUUUCUUUAGUCAUCAAAUUAAAUGUUGAUCUCAGGUCGAUAUUGCAAUGCUUUCUCUGAGAUGGUAUCACAAUUCUCCAUCACAACUACUUAAAAGAAAAAACUUUCUCUAUGGCAAACGACCCCUAACAACUUUUACGAGUUGGCCAAAAGUUUUAGCAGAAGAUCCCUUCUUCGUUGAAAAGGCUGUCUUUAGUCAUCAAAGUAAAGUUGAACCAUGGUCUGCUCCUGAGGUCAAAGGUGUUAUUCUUGUGCUGAGAUGAUAUUGCAAUUCUCCAUGAAACCUAUCCAAAAGAAGAAAUUUCUAUAUGGCAAACGACACACUAUGCCUUUUCCCAAUUGACUGAACGGUUAGAGGGAUGGACUGUUAACCUGUUGAGCUCCGCACACAUGGGAUUGAAUCCCAUCAUUGUCAAAAAGGCUAUAUUUAGUCACCAAACUAAUGUUGUACCUUGAUCUGCUCCCGAGGUCAAAGGUUCAAUUUCUGUUCUGAGAUGAUAGUUCAAUUCUCCAUGAAACCUACGUAAAAGAAAAAAAUUCAACACGGCAAAAAACUCCUAAUUCUUUUUCCGAGCUGGACGAAAGUUUAGGGAGGUGGACUUCUAAUCCGUUGUGCUCUGGAUGCAUGGGAUCCAAACCCAGCUUCGUCUACGAGGACAUCUUUAAAUAUCACACAAUUGUUGAAGACUGAUGUGCUCUUGAAGUCAAGUGUGCAUUACUGGAUCUCAGUUGCUAUUUCAAUAUUUCAGGACGCCACCUUAUUUAGUGUAAAAAGUUUGGCCGACAUUUCAGUACCAAAUGACACUUCACUGUCCAGUAAAUAAACAGGGCGUCAACAACGUAGGGCGUCGAAGGUUCCAAUGUACUGUUUGACAUUUGUAGACAUGUGUUUGACAUGAAUCUCUGUUAAACAAACAUAGUUAGCUCUAGAAAGAUUUAUUUUAUUAUCACAGAAAAGUACAAGUGCAGUGCUUGUUCUGAGAUGCUAUGGCAGUACUCCAUGACACGCACUCUACAUAUUGUUAAAAAUAUAUGAAUGACAUUUUAAUGUGUAGUACAGAAACAGGUGGGCAAAAAUUUAGGCCAUAGAAAGUUGCAGUGUACUGUUUCUAAAGGUUAGACAUGUGUUUGCCAUUCAGCCCUCUUAAAUGGACAUAGUUAGCGCUAGAACGCUUAGAUUUGUUCUUAUAGCGAGGAACACGCACCUCUGCUCCCUCGUGUGGACGAGGUGGCCGAGUGGUUAAGGCGAUGGACUGCUAAUCCAUUGUGCUCUGCACGCGUGGGUUCGAAUCCCACCUUCGUCGGAAAGAGCUUCUUUAGUCAUCAAACUAACAGUGAACGUUGACCUCCGGUCAAAAGUGCAAUGUUUGCUCUGAGGUGCUCUUUCCAUUCUACCUGACACUGAUUUGAAAGAAAGAAUUUCUCUACGGCAAACGACAACCAAGACUUCCUCCGAUUUGGCCGAAAGGUCAGGGAGGUGGACUGCGAAUCUGCUUUGCUCUGGAUGCGUGAGAUCCAAUCCUAACUUCAACAACAAAGGCUGUCUUCAAACAUGACACAACUGUUGUACACUGAUGUGCACUUGAGGUCAGACCCGCAAUACCCUUUCUAACAUGCUAUUUCAGUACUUCAUGACGCCCACAGUUCAAUACCAGCUGACGUUUCACCGUCCAGUAAGGAAACAGGUGGGCAAAAGUUUAGGCCAUAGAAAAUUCCUAUGUACUGUUUAUCAUUGUUAGGCAUGCUUUUCACAUGAAUCCCCUCUAAACGGACCUAGCGAGUCACAGAACGAUUUGUCAUAUUGUUCUAGAGAGGAAAAUAAGCCACACGAUCCCUGUCAUGUCGACGAGGUGGCCGAGAGGUUAAGGCGAUGGACUGCUAAUCCAUUGUGCUCUGCACGCGUGGGUUCGAAUCCCACCUUCGUCGGAAAGAGCUUCUUUAGUCAUCAAACUAACAGUGAACGUUGACCUCCGGUCAAAAGUGCAAUGUUUGCUCUGAGGUGCUCUUUCCAUUCUACCUGACACUGAUUUGAAAGAAAGAAUUUCUCUACGGCAAACGACAACCAAGACUUCCUCCGAUUUGGCCGAAAGGUCAGGGAGGUGGACUGCGAAUCUGCUUUGCUCUGGAUGCGUGAGAUCCAAUCCUAACUUCAACAACAAAGGCUGUCUUCAAACAUGACACAACUGUUGUACACUGAUGUGCACUUGAGGUCAGACCCGCAAUACCCUUUCUAACAUGCUAUUUCAGUACUUCAUGACGCCCACAGUUCAAUACCAGCUGACGUUUCACCGUCCAGUAAGGAAACAGGUGGGCAAAAGUUUAGGCCAUAGAAAAUUCCUAUGUACUGUUUAUCAUUGUUAGGCAUGCUUUUCACAUGAAUCCCCUCUAAACGGACCUAGCGAGUCACAGAACGAUUUGUCAUAUUGUUAUAGAGAGGAAAAUAAGCCACACGAUCCCUUUCAUGUCGACGAGGUGGCCGAGAGGUUAAGGCGAUGGACUGCUAAUCCAUUGUGCUCUGCACGCGUGGGUUCGAAUCCCACCUUCGUCGAACAGGCUUUCUUUAGUCAUCAAAUUAAAUGUUGAUCUCAGGUCGAUAUUGCAAUGCUUUCUCUGAGAUGGUAUCACAAUUCUCCAUCACACCUACUUAAAAGAAAAAACUUUCUCUAUGGCAAACGACCCCUAACAACUUUUACGAGUUGGCCAAAAGUUUUAGCAGAAGAUCCCUUCUUCGUUGAAAAGGCUGUCUUUAGUCAUCAAAGUAAAGUUGAACCAUGGUCUGCUCCUGAGGUCAAAGGUGUUAUUCUUGUGCUGAGAUGAUAUUGCAAUUCUCCAUGAAACCUAUCCAAAAGAAGAAAUUUCUAUAUGGCAAACGACACACUAUGCCUUUUCCCAAUUGACUGAACGGUUAGAGGGAUGGACUGUUAACCUGUUGAGCUCCGCACACAUGGGAUUGAAUCCCAUCAUUGUCAAAAAGGCUAUAUUUAGUCACCAAACUAAUGUUGUACCUUGAUCUGCUGCCGAGGUCAAAGGUUCAAUUUCUGUUCUGAGAUGAUAGUUCAAUUCUCCAUGAAACCUACAUAAAAGAAAAAAAUUCAACACGGCAAAAAACUCCUAAUUCUUUUUCCGAGCUGGACGAAAGGUUAGGGAGGUGGACUUCUAAUCCGUUGUGCUCUGGAUGCAUGGGAUCCAAACCCAGCUUCGUCUACGAGGACAUCUUUAAAUAUCACACAAUUGUUGAAGACUGAUGUGCUCUUGAAGUCAAGUGUGCAUUACUGGAUCUCAGUUGCUAUUUCAAUAUUUCAGGACGCCACCUUAUUUAGUGUAAAAAGUUUGGCCGACAUUUCAGUACCAAAUGACACUUCACUGUCCAGUAAAUAAACAGGGCGUCAAAAACGUAGGGCGUCGAAGGUUCCAAUGUACUGUUUGACAUUUGUAGACAUGUGUUUGACAUGAAUCUCUGUUAAACAAACAUAGUUAGCUCUAGAAAGAUUUAUUUUAUUAUCACAGAAAAGUACAAGUGCAGUGCUUGUUCUGAGAUGCUAUGGCAGUACUCCAUGACACGCACUCUACAUAUUGUUAAAAAUAUAUGAAUGACAUUUUAAUGUGUAGUACAGAAACAGGUGGGCAAAAAUUUAGGCCAUAGAAAGUUGCAGUGUACUGUUUCUAAAGGUUAGACAUGUGUUUGCCAUUCAGCCCUCUUAAAUGGACAUAGUUAGCGCUAGAACGCUUAGAUUUGUUCUUAUAGCGAGGAACACGCACCUCUGCUCCCUCGUGUGGACGAGGUGGCCGAGUGGUUAAGGCGAUGGACUGCUAAUCCAUUGUGCUCUGCACGCGUGGGUUCGAAUCCCACCUUCGUCGGAAAGAGCUUCUUUAGUCAUCAAACUAACAGUGAACGUUGACCUCCGGUCAAAAGUGCAAUGUUUGCUCUGAGGUGCUCUUUCCAUUCUACCUGACACUGAUUUGAAAGAAAGAAUUUCUCUACGGCAAACGACAACCAAGACUUCCUCCGAUUUGGCCGAAAGGUCAGGGAGGUGGACUGCGAAUCUGCUUUGCUCUGGAUGCGUGAGAUCCAAUCCUAACUUCAACAACAAAGGCUGUCUUCAAACAUGACACAACUGUUGUACACUGAUGUGCACUUGAGGUCAGACGCGCAAUACCCUUUCUAACAUGCUAUUUCAGUACUUCAUGACGCCCACAGUUCAAUACCAGCUGACGUUUCACCGUCCAGUAAGGAAACAGGUGGGCAAAAGUUUAGGCCAUAGAAAAUUCCUAUGUACUGUUUAUCAUUGUUAGGCAUGCUUUUCACAUGAAUCCCCUCUAAACGGACCUAGCGAGUCACAGAACGAUUUGUCAUAUUGUUAUAGAGAGGAAAAUAAGCCACACGAUCCCUUUCAUGUCGACGAGGUGGCCGAGAGGUUAAGGCGAUGGACUGCUAAUCCAUUGUGCUCUGCACGCGUGGGUUCGAAUCCCACCUUCGUCGAACAGGCUUUCUUUAGUCAUCAAAUUAAAUGUUGAUCUCAGGUCGAUAUUGCAAUGCUUUCUCUGAGAUGGUAUCACAAUUCUCCAUCACAACUACUUAAAAGAAAAAACUUUCUCUAUGGCAAACGACCCCUAACAACUUUUACGAGUUGGCCAAAAGUUUUAGCAGAAGAUCCCUUCUUCGUUGAAAAGGCUGUCUUUAGUCAUCAAAGUAAAGUUGAACCAUGGUCUGCUCCUGAGGUCAAAGGUGUUAUUCUUGUGCUGAGAUGAUAUUGCAAUUCUCCAUGAAACCUAUCCAAAAGAAGAAAUUUCUAUAUGGCAAACGACACACUAUGCCUUUUCCCAAUUGACUGAACGGUUAGAGGGAUGGACUGUUAACCUGUUGAGCUCCGCACACAUGGGAUUGAAUCCCAUCAUUGUCAAAAAGGCUAUAUUUAGUCACCAAACUAAUGUUGUACCUUGAUCUGCUCCCGAGGUCAAAGGUUCAAUUUCUGUUCUGAGAUGAUAGUUCAAUUCUCCAUGAAACCUACGUAAAAGAAAAAAAUUCAACACGGCAAAAAACUCCUAAUUCUUUUUCCGAGCUGGACGAAAGUUUAGGGAGGUGGACUUCUAAUCCGUUGUGCUCUGGAUGCAUGGGAUCCAAACCCAGCUUCGUCUACGAGGACAUCUUUAAAUAUCACACAAUUGUUGAAGACUGAUGUGCUCUUGAAGUCAAGUGUGCAUUACUGGAUCUCAGUUGCUAUUUCAAUAUUUCAGGACGCCACCUUAUUUAGUGUAAAAAGUUUGGCCGACAUUUCAGUACCAAAUGACACUUCACUGUCCAGUAAAUAAACAGGGCGUCAAAAACGUAGGGCGUCGAAGGUUCCAAUGUACUGUUUGACAUUUGUAGACAUGUGUUUGACAUGAAUCUCUGUUAAACAAACAUAGUUAGCUCUAGAAAGAUUUAUUUUAUUAUCACAGAAAAGUACAAGUGCAGUGCUUGUUCUGAGAUGCUAUGGCAGUACUCCAUGACACGCACUCUACAUAUUGUUAAAAAUAUAUGAAUGACAUUUUAAUGUGUAGUACAGAAACAGGUGGGCAAAAAUUUAGGCCAUAGAAAGUUGCAGUGUACUGUUUCUAAAGGUUAGACAUGUGUUUGCCAUUCAGCCCUCUUAAAUGGACAUAGUUAGCGCUAGAACGCUUAGAUUUGUUCUUAUAGCGAGGAACACGCACCUCUGCUCCCUCGUGUGGACGAGGUGGCCGAGUGGUUAAGGCGAUGGACUGCUAAUCCAUUGUGCUCUGCACGCGUGGGUUCGAAUCCCACCUUCGUCGGAAAGAGCUUCUUUAGUCAUCAAACUAACAGUGAACGUUGACCUCCGGUCAAAAGUGCAAUGUUUGCUCUGAGGUGCUCUUUCCAUUCUACCUGACACUGAUUUGAAAGAAAGAAUUUCUCUACGGCAAACGACAACCAAGACUUCCUCCGAUUUGGCCGAAAGGUCAGGGAGGUGGACUGCGAAUCUGCUUUGCUCUGGAUGCGUGAGAUCCAAUCCUAACUUCAACAACAAAGGCUGUCUUCAAACAUGACACAACUGUUGUACACUGAUGUGCACUUGAGGUCAGACGCGCAAUACCCUUUCUAACAUGCUAUUUCAGUACUUCAUGACGCCCACAGUUCAAUACCAGCUGACGUUUCACCGUCCAGUAAGGAAACAGGUGGGCAAAAGUUUAGGCCAUAGAAAAUUCCUAUGUACUGUUUAUCAUUGUUAGGCAUGCUUUUCACAUGAAUCCCCUCUAAACGGACCAAGUGAGUCAUAGAACGAUUUGUCAUAUUGUUAUAGAGAGGAAAAUAAGCCACACAAUCCCUUUCAUGUCGACGAGGUGGCCGAGUGGUUAAGGCGAUGGACUGCUAAUCCAUUGUGCUCUGCACGCGUGGGUUCGAAUCCCACCUUCGUCGGAAAGAGCUUCUUUAGUCUUCAAACUAACAGUGAACUUUGACCUCCGGUCAAAAGUGCAAUGUUUGCUCUGAGGUGCUCUUUCCAUUCUACCUGACACUGAUUUGAAAGAAAGAAUUUCUCUACGGCAAACGACAACCAAGACUUCCUCCGAUUUGGCCGAAAGGUCAGGGAGGUGGACUGCGAAUCUGCUUUGCUCUGGAUGCGUGAGAUCCAAUCCUAACUUCAACAACAAAGGCUGUCUUCAAACAUGACACAACUGUUGUACACUGAUGUGCACUUGAGGUCAGACGCGCAAUACCCUUUCUAACAUGCUAUUUCAGUACUUCAUGACGCCCACAGUUCAAUACCAGCUGACGUUUCACCGUCCAGUAAGGAAACAGGUGGGCAAAAGUUUAGGCCAUAGAAAAUUCCUAUGUACUGUUUAUCAUUGUUAGGCAUGCUUUUCACAUGAAUCCCCUCUAAACGGACCAAGUGAGUCAUAGAACGAUUUGUCAUAUUGUUAUAGAGAGGAAAAUAAGCCACACGAUCCCUUUCAUGUCGACGAGGUGGCCGAGUGGUUAAGGCGAUGGACUGCUAAUCCAUUGUGCUCUGCACGCGUGGGUUCGAAUCCCACCUUCGUCGGAAAGAGCUUCUUUAGUCAUCAAACUAACAGUGAACGUUGACCUCCGGUCAAAAGUGCAAUGUUUGCUCUGAGGUGCUCUUUCCAUUCUACCUGACACUGAUUUGAAAGAAAGAAUUUCUCUACGGCAAACGACAACCAAGACUUCCUCCGAUUUGGCCGAAAGGUCAGGGAGGUGGACUGCGAAUCUGCUUUGCUCUGGAUGCGUGAGAUCCAAUCCUAACUUCAACAACAAAGGCUGUCUUCAAACAUGACACAACUGUUGUACACUGAUGUGCACUUGAGGUCAGACGCGCAAUACCCUUUCUAACAUGCUAUUUCAGUACUUCAUGACGCCCACAGUUCAAUACCAGCUGACGUUUCACCGUCCAGUAAGGAAACAGGUGGGCAAAAGUUUAGGCCAUAGAAAAUUCCUAUGUACUGUUUAUCAUUGUUAGGCAUGCUUUUCACAUGAAUCCCCUCUAAACGGACCAAGUGAGUCAUAGAACGAUUUGUCAUAUUGUUAUAGAGAGGAAAAUAAG